CCUACGGGAGGCAGCAGUGAGGAAUAUUGGUCAAUGGACGCAAGUCUGAACCAGCCAUGCCGCGUGCAGGAAGACGGCUCUAUGAGUUGUAAACUGCUUUUGUACGAGGGUAAACGCAGAUACGCGUAUCUGUCUGAAAGUAUCGUACGAAUAAGGAUCGGCUAACUCCGUGCCAGCAGCCGCGGUAAUACGGAGGAUUCAAGCGUUAUCCGGAUUUAUUGGGUUUAAAGGGUGCGUAGGCGGGUGGUUAAGUUAGAGGUGAAAGUCCGGGGCUCAACUGCGGAAUUGCCUGUGAUACUGUUCGGCUAGAGAGUAGUUGCGGUAGGCGGAAUGUAUGGUGUAGCGGUGAAAUGCUUAGAGAGCAUACAGAACACCGAUUGCGAAGGCAGCUUACCAAGCUACUUCUGACGUUGAGGCACGAAAGCGUGGGGAGCAAACAGGAUUAGAUAUCCCAGUAGUC
rnacentral:rRNA from 1 species